AUUGAACGCUGGCGGCAGGCUUAACACAUGCAAGUCGAGCGAGCGGCGGACGGGUGAGUAAUGUCUGGGAAACUGCCUGAUGGAGGGGGAUAACUACUGGAAACGGUAGCUAAUACCGCAUACUAUCAGCUGUGCCCAGAUGGGAUUAGCUAGUAGGUGGGGUAAUGGCUCACCUAGGCGACGAUCUCUAGCUGGUCUGAGAGGAUGACCAGCAACACUGGAACUGAGACACGGUCCAGACUCCUACGGGAGGCAGCAGUGGGGAAUAUUGCACAAUGGGCGCAAGCCUGAUGCAGCCAUGCCGCGUGUAUGAAGAAGGCCUUAGGGUUGUAAAGUACUUUCAGCGGGGAGGCGUUACCCGCAGAAGAAGCACCGGCUAACUCCGUGCCAGCAGCCGCGGUAAUAC
rnacentral:rRNA from 1 species